rnacentral:rRNA from 1 species
CGCUGGCGGCGCGCUUUAUACAUGCAAGUCGAACGAGAAGCCAGAGCUUGCUCUGGUGGAAAGUGGCGAACGGGUGAGUAACACGUGAGAAACCUGCCCCAAAGACUGGGAUAAGCCGAGGAAACUUGGUCUAAUACCGGAUACCCUCUUUUUAUCACAUGUUAAAAAGAAGAAAUGCUCCGGCGCUUUGGGAUGGUCUCGCGACCUAUCAGCUUGUUAGUGAGGUAAAAGCUCACCAAGGCAUCGACGGGUAGCUGGUCUGAGAGGAUGUCCAGCCACAUUGGGACUGAGAUACGGCCCAAACUCCUACGGGAGGCAGCAGUAGGGAAUCUUGCACAAUGAGGGAAACCUUGAUGCAGCGACGCCGCGUGCGGGACGAAGGCCCUAGGGUUGUAAACCGCUUUCAGUAGGGACGAAAGUGACGGUACCUACAGAAGAAGCCCCGGCCAACUAUGUG